AUGGUUCACAAAGGAGUUCCAAGAAGAGAAGCGUUGUCAGCCAAAGUCCAAGGUCGAAACAGGAGGAAUCCAAAACAGCAUUGCUCCAAAAGGAGAUGCAAGAAGAGAAGCGUCGUCAGCCGAAGUCCAGGGUCGAAAAGGGAGGAAUCCAAAACAGCGUUGUUCCAAAAGGAGAUGCAAGAAGAGAAGCGUCGUCAGCCAAAGUCCAAGGUCGAAAAGGGAGGAAGCCGAAACAGCGUUGCUCCAGUGUUCGCAGAAGCAGCGUCUUUAGCCAAACUGGUUCAGAUCCAAACUGCAGAUCCAAGUCCAACGCCGAACAUGAAAGCAGGCAGCAGCAAGACUACAAGAAACUUUCCCAAUACACAACACCCAGCACACGAACACACAACAACACCUUGCCUUCUGCGAAGACCCCUCACCCCUGAACCCACGUUUAUCUAAAAAUCAACAUCAGACGAUGAACUGACCAUCGCCCCAUCACUAUCCCCGCAGCUGCUCCCAGCUCUUCACGUGAAUUCCCUUGACUCUCCCUCCAAUUCCUCCAUCUCCUGUCAAGACUUACAUCCCCAAGAAUCAGUUGGAUCCCCUGAUUGCCAGUCUUCACUCCCAGAGAACCUCAUAAAGGUAUCACUAGUUGUUGGUGCCUCACAAAUAGCUUGCACUUCUCUUAUCUUAGUCCAAUCCAUGGUGUCUCCUUCUCCUUCACUCAUUGACCCAUCAUCCCCAGAGAAUCCCUCAAACGACUCCUCAUUUGUAGGUGCCAUAAGUAUGUCCCGGAUCCUCUUUCUCUGCUGCUCUUCAUCAGAUUCCUGCUCCCGAGUAACCCCCUUCCUCCUUCUGGCACGCAUACUACUGUUUGUAACGUUACUCACAGGCUCUACUACAACAUGAAAUUCAGGAACAGUCCUUAGAAACUUGAGCACAUGAAACAUGAACAAAGGAAGCAUGGAACUAGAAAUCCCUUAACAGACUUGACUUGGCAGAAGUUCUACACUCAAACACCAACGUUGCCUCAACUGACGAAGUAGCCUCUUGAUCUUGCGAAUAUAAGCAGAAAAAUUGUGCCUUUUCCCUUGAAAAGUCAAUGAGGACUUUUUUUCUAAUAGGCGGCUUUAUGAUGACGGAACAUCAAUCUCCUCUCUAACUGCAGCUCGUUAGUCUGUCCACCUGGACUUUCAUUUUCAUCCUCUGAGCUCAGUUCUGUCUCUGACCUUGCUUCUCUAGGGAACUGCCUUUCUGGAAUGCGGCCUCCCUCGGACAGAGAUCUCACAUUCUCAGGGCUUGAAAUCUCUUGAUUCUCCUGCUGGCCUGAAAGCCCAGAAUCCCCAGUGUCAACAUCAGGCAGCCUAGCAGUCCCAGAAUCCCUAGUGUUAUCAUCAGGUACAGGCACAAUCAAAGGCUGGACUGUCCUGCUCACUUCAAAGGAUCAGUCUGAACGCAGAUUAAAGAUAACUGCUCUCAAAUCCAAUCUUUAUUGAAGAACACAUGACUUUGGAAAAGUCAAGAAUGACUCAAUGUUUACAUACAACUAUUUUUAUAACUUUUGAUGCUACGUAACACCACACGUAAAUAUCAUCAUCAAGUCCCACCUCCAAUAUCACAUUACUACCAUUUUCACACACUAAACCAAUUAUAAUUGUUUAUACUUUCGGUCCCAAGUUCCCAGGCGUAUUCUAUCUUCUUCUGCCAGGUGCUUCUGGGAUUGUUUAUGUUAUGACUCCCAGUUACAGGGCUGAAUUACCAAAGCCCUGUAACUGGGUUCCAUGACAUGGUGCCCUCCUUUUCUUCGUCCUCCUCUUCGGUUCUUCCUUCAUCACAAA
ensembl:lncRNA